UGAGUACGAGAUGCUACGGCAUCGAAGCAGUCUAUGUCAUACUUCCAAGAAAAGCUUGCACUGUCAGAAACAGAUAAUGCCUGUACCAUAACCGACACAGGUGGGUAGGUAGAGUAUACUAAGGGGCGCGAGAUAACUCUCUCUGAGGAACUCGGCAAAAUGACUCCGUAACUUCGGGAGAAGGAGUGCCUUAUUUUUAAGGUUGCAAUAACAAGAUCCAAGCAACUGUUUACCAAAAACACAGGUCUCCGCUAAGUCGUAAGACGAUGUAUGGGGGCUGACGCCUGCCCAGUGCCAGAAGGUUAAAGAAGUCGGUUAGCAUUCGCGAAGCUGGUAACUGAAGCCCUGGUGAACGGCGGCCGUAACUAUAACGGUCCUAAGGUAGCGAAAUUCCUUGUCGGGUAAGUUCCGACCCGCACGAAAGGCGUAAUGAUUUGGAUACUGUCUCGGAGAGGGGCUCGGUGAAAUAGACUUGUCUGUGAAGAUGCGGACUACCUGCACCUGGACAGAAAGACCCUAUGAAGCUUUACUGUAACUUGAAAUUGAAAUUGGACUUUAUUUGCGCAGUAUAGGUGGGAGGCGUUGAAAAUAUUCUUGCGGGAAUAUUGGAGCCAUCAGUGAGAUACCACUCUUGUAAUGUUAGAUUUCUAACUUUAUAUCAUUAUCUGGUUAAAGAACAGUUUCAGGCGGGCAGUUUGACUGGGGCGGUCGCCUCCCAAAUGGUAACGGAGGCGCACAAAGGUUUCCUCUGAACGGGUAGAAAUCGUAUCUAGAGUGUAAAGGCAUAAGGAAGCUUGACUGUGAGACCUACAAGUCGAGCAGGGACGAAAGUCGGUCUUAGUGAUCUGACGGUGCUGAGUGGAAAGGCCGUCACUCAACGGAUAAAAGUUACUCUAAGGAUAACAGGCUGAUCUCCCCCAAGAGUUCACAUCGACGGGGAGGUUUGGCACCUCGAUGUCGGCUCAUCGCAUCCUGGGGCGGUAGUACGUCCCAAGGGUUGGGCUGUUCGCCCAUGAAAGCGGUACGCGAGCUGGGUUCAGAACGUCGUGAGACAGUUCGGUCCAUAUCCGGUGUAGGCGUUAGAAUAUUGAGAGGAGCCUUCUUUAGUACGAGAGGACCGAGAAGGACAUACCUCUGGUGUACCAGUUAUCGUGCCAACGGUAAACGCUGGGUAGCUAUGUAUGGAGUGGAUAACCGCUGAAAGCAUCUAAGUGGGAAGCCCACCUCAAGAUAAGUAUUCUCGU
rnacentral:rRNA from 1 species